UACGGGGGGGGCAAGCGUUGUUCGGAAUUACUGGGCGUAAAGGGCUCGUAGGCGGCCAACUAAGUCGGACGUGAAAUCCCUCGGCUUAACCGGGGAGCUGCGUCCGAUACUGGAUGGCUUGAGUUCGGGAGAGGGAUGCGGAAUUCCAGGUGUAGCGGUGAAAUGCGUAGAUAUCUGGAGGAACACCGGUGGCGAAGGCGGCAUCCUGGACCGACACUGACGCUGAGGAGCGAAAGCCAGGGGAGCAAACGGG
rnacentral:rRNA from 1 species